AAAGAAUAACACUACAGGAGGCAGAAAGCAAGAGGAGAGACCUCAGUCUCUGUAAAACCUUCAAGUAUUUUGGACAGAUACAAGCCCCCCAGGACAUUAUGAGAAGUUCGCGGAUGCAAUGGAUAGUACGGGGCACCGCCUAUAAAGGAAUGCUGCCGCAGAUUCUGAGCCUAAAACAAGAUCUGGAGUUUACAGGAGCUACAGGGAGUUGGAGGGAGAGACUGGAGUGACUGGUCCCAGACCUUGAGCCCAGUCUGAGCUCCAUCAGUAAACUGUUCAUUGUUGGGCCUCAGUGUUUUCAUCUGCAAAAUGUGCAGGUUGGAAAGGAUUUCAUCGACAGCCCCCACCUUCUACCACCACAGCCUCAGCAAUUGCAGUUCCAGAGUCAUCUCCACCCUCUUCAUGCUGACACUAUCAUCGAGUCGGAGAGGUCCUCUAGGAUGAUCUCAUGGUUGACACAAGCCGUGCUUCUAUUUAUGUGUCACAGUAACUUCAUUAUUUUUAGAGACAACAUUAUUGAUUCCCAUUUAGCUUGUGGGCCACUCUGAGAUUCUUAUCUUCCCUCAUCCUAAGAGCCUGCCUCUGCUCCGCCUGGAUCCCGGGAAUG